rnacentral:rRNA from 1 species
AACGAACGCUGGCGGCAGGCUUAAUACAUGCAAGUCGAACGCCCCUUUCGGGGGGAGUGGCAGACGGGUGAGUAACGCGUGGGAACGUGCCCAAAGGUAGGGAACAACUCCGGGAAACUGGAGCUAAUACCCUAUGUGCCCGAGAGGGGAAAGAUUUAUCGCCUUUGGAUCGGCCCGCGUUGGAUUAGCUAGUUGGUGGGGUAAAAGCCUACCAAGGCGACGAUCCAUAGCUGUUCUGAGAGGAAGAUCAGCCACACUGGGACUGGGACACGGCCCAGACUCCUACGGGAGGCAGCAGUAGGGAAUCUUGGACAAUGGGCGCAAGCCUGAUCCAGCCAUGCCGCGUGAGUGAUGAAGGCCUUAGGGUUGUAAAACUCUUUCGCAGGUGACGAUAAUGACGGUAACCUGAGAAGAAGCCCCGGCUAACUUCGUGCCAGCAGCCGCCGUAA